UACGGGGGGGGCAAGCGUUGUUCGGAAUUACUGGGCGUAAAGGGCUCGUAGGUGGCCAACUAAGUCGGACGUGAAAUCCCCAGGCUCAACUUGGGAACUGCGUCCGAUACUGGAUGGCUUGAAUUCGGGAGAGGGAUGCAGAAUUCCAGGUGUAGCGGUGAAAUGCGUAGAUAUCAGGAAGAACACCCGUGGCGAAGGCGGCUCUCUGGGACGGUACUGACGCUGAGACGCGAAAGCGUGGGGAGCGAACAGG
rnacentral:rRNA from 1 species